rnacentral:lncRNA from 1 species
UUCCCGGCCUAGCAUAUAACUCUCUUAGUCUUUUGAGUCUAACCAUCACCAUUCAAAAUAAGUAAGUCAAGUUAAGAAUUUUAAUUCUAUUAUAUUUUAUAUGUAGGGCUAUCUGGGAUCUCACAUUUUUUUCCUCUUAAGCCCUAACGUUCUCGUCAAGUUCAGACUCACAAGUAUCAGGCGAUGUGAGACUCAUCUCGCUAGUCUAAACCGACCUUGUGGUGAGCUGCGCUUCACCCACAACAAUCAGCAGCAUGAGAGCCUUGCUCUCCCCAUUGUAUAAUCCUAAUUCAGUUGAGAUUUAUUUCACACUUUCGGCUGAUAAUUGGAUCUAAUACCAACUGUGACGCCCCAACUUUCCAGAGGAUCAUCCAUCCUAAAACUAUUCUCGUUUUAGCACGCUCAACUCUUUUAAUCUCUUAAGUCUAACCACUAUUCAAAAUGUUUAAGCCAGAUUAAAAGUUUUAGUCUUGUUAUAUCUUAUAUAUAGGACUAUCUGGGAUCUCAUAAUCUUUAGAUCAAUUAGCUAUGUUAUAUCGACAAGC